UACAGAGGUCCCAAGCGUUGUUCGGAUUUACUGGGCGUAAAGGGCGCGUAGGUGGCAUUCUAAGUCUGAUGUGAAAGCUCUGAGCUUAACUCAGAAAUGGCAUUAGAUACUAGUUUGCUUGAGGAUUGGAGGGGAGAUUGGAAUACUUGGUGUAGCAGUGAAAUGCGUAGAUAUCAAGUGGAACACCAGUGGCGAAGGCGAAUCUCUGGACAAUUCCUGACACUGAUGCUCGAAAGCUAGGGGAGCAAACGGG
rnacentral:rRNA from 1 species